UACGGAGGGUGCAAGCGUUAUCCGGAUUUACUGGGUUUAAAGGGUGUGUAGGCGGGCUUUUAAGUCAGUGGUGAAAUCUCCGGGCUCAACCUGGAAACUGCCAUUGAUACUAUUAGUCCUGAAUUUUGUUGAGGUAGGCGGAAUAAGUCAUGUAGCGGUGAAAUGCAUAGAUAUGACUUAGAACACCAAUUGCGAAGGCAGCUUGCUAAACAAAUAUUGACGCUGAGGCACGAAAGCGUGGGGAUCAAACAGG
rnacentral:rRNA from 1 species